UACGUAGGGUGCAAGCGUUAAUCGGAAUUACUGGGCGUAAAGCGUGCGCAGGCGGCUUUGCAAGACAGAUGUGAAAUCCCCGGGCUUAACCUGGGAACUGCAUUUGUGACUGCAUGGCUGGAGUGCGGCAGAGGGGGAUGGAAUUCCGCGUGUAGCAGUGAAAUGCGUAGAUAUGCGGAGGAACACCGAUGGCGAAGGCAAUCCCCUGGGCCUGCACUGACGCUCAUGCACGAAAACGUGGGGAGCAAACAGG
rnacentral:rRNA from 1 species